UCCCAGACUCCUACGGGAGGCAGCAGUGAGGAAUAUUGGUCAAUGGGCGAGAGCCUGAACCAGCCAAGUCGCGUGAAGGAUGAAGGAUCUAUGGUUUGUAAACUUCUUUUAUAUGGGAAUAAAGUGAGGAACGUGUUCCUUUUUGUAUGUACCAUAUGAAUAAGCAUCGGCUAACUCCGUGCCAGCAGCCGCGGUAAUACGGAGGAUGCGAGCGUUAUCCGGAUUUAUUGGGUUUAAAGGGUGCGUAGGCGGACAGUCAAGUCAGCGGUAAAAAUGCGGUGCUCAACGCCGUACAGCCGUUGAAACUGGCAGUCUUGAGUGGGCGAGAAGUAUGCGGAAUGCGUGGUGUAGCGGUGAAAUGCAUAGAUAUCACGCAGAACUCCGAUUGCGAAGGCAGCAUACCGGCGCCCGACUGACGCUGAGGCACGAAAGCGUGGGUAUCGAACAGGAUUAGAUACCCGAGUA
rnacentral:rRNA from 1 species